rnacentral:rRNA from 1 species
GACGAACGCUGGCGGCGUGCUUAACACAUGCAAGUCGAGCGGUAAGGCCCUUUCGGGGGUACACGAGCGGCGAACGGGUGAGUAACACGUGGGUGACCUGCCCUCAGCUCUGGGAUAAGCCUGGGAAACCGGGUCUAAUACUGGAUAUGACUCCAUGACGCAUGUUGUGGGGUGGAAAGCCUUGUGCGGCUGAGGAUGGGCCCGCGGCCUAUCAGCUUGUUGGUGGGGUGAUGGCCUACCAAGGCGACGACGGGUAGCCGGCCUGAGAGGGCGACCGGCCACACUGGGACUGAGACACGGCCCAGACUCCUACGGGAGGCAGCAGUGGGGAAUCUUGCGCAAUGGGCGAAAGCCUGACGCAGCGACGCCGCGUGAGGGAUGACGGCCUGGUGUAACUA